CACAAGCAUGUGUCGAAGGAAACUGAUAUUUUGAAGGAUAAGAAGGUUCACAUCAUUAUAACAGACAAAUACGGCAACGUGGUAUCCGACACGACGAAAGAAAAAAAGAAAGAGAAGACCAAGAAGAAGGAGAAAGACCGUUCGUCGUCGAAGCUGGUGCAUACUAAGAA